UACAGAGGUGGCAAGCGUUGUUCGGAAUUACUGGGCGUAGAGGGCGCGUAGGCGGCCUUCUAAGUCAGACGUGAAAUCCCCAGGCUUAACUUGGGAACUGCGUCUGAUACUGGAAGGCUUGAGUGCGGGAGAGGGAUGUGGAAUUCCAGGUGUAGCGGUGAAAUGCGUAGAUACCUGGAGGAACACCGGUGGCGAAGGCGGAUCUCUGGGCCAUUACUGACGCUGAUGCACGAAAGCUAGGGGAGCAAACAGG
rnacentral:rRNA from 1 species